CCCGGCGGCACUAGCGCGGUGGUCCCACCUGACCCCAUGCCGAACUCAGAAGUGAAACGCCGUAGCGCCGAUGGUAGUGUGGGGUCUCCCCAUGUGAGAGUAGGGAACUGCCAGGC
rnacentral:rRNA from 2 species